rnacentral:rRNA from 1 species
GAAUCGCUAGUAAUCGUGGAUCAGAAUGUCACGGUGAAUACGUUCCCGGGCCUUGUACACACCGCCCGUCACACCAUGGGAGUGGACUGCACCAGAAGUGGUUAGCCUAACUUCGGAGGGCGAUCACCACGGUGUGGUUCAUGACUGGGGUGAAGUCGUAACAAGGUAGCCGUAGGGGAACCUGCGGCUGGAUCACCUCCUUAA